AACAUACGAUUAUUAACUUGUUUGAAAUGAGGUUUCUGAGCCAUUGUUUCAUGUCGAGCGAAAUUUAAAUAAAAAAUCUAACUGUUAAAUCGAAAUACUACAUGGCCUGAAAAGUCUUGAGUCUAACACAUAGAUGGCGCUUGCAUUAACCGCUUGUUCAGUUAGUACUAACCUUCAAGAGAAAGGUGUUGCAAUUUUAUGAUAUUCUACUCGUGAGUUAUAGUGCUAAUAGUUAGAAAACGUUGCUGAUUCGUUUUGAGAAAUUGACGGCACAUAAAAACAUUAGGCCGGGACUUUUCAGCCUAGGAUAGGUUAUAAAUCAACAAGUACUGUUCUGCAAAAUAGAGGUAUCGUGAGAAAUUAUUCAAAUAAUGAAAAACUACAAGACCGAAGGUAUCCAUUCGGAUGAGUUGAUAUGAAAGUGGUAUGAAAACGAUAUUAGGAAAUUGAAUACCCAACGGAACUGAAUACACUGCGAAAGGAAAUGAAAUAUUAAAAGAAAUUAAAUGGACUGUGAAAGAUGAAUACACUGCGAAAGGUGAGUAUGAUUAACCUCUU